CUGAAACACGGACCAAGGAGUCUAGCAUGUGAGCGAGUGAUAGAGUGUAAAUACUCUGUCGCGAAAUGAAAGUGAAAUGUGUUGAACAUGAGUGGUGAACUGUAGCUUUGAGUUAUGGUGCACUCACAGGCUGCGUAAAAGCUGCUGUAUUUAUACAGUGACGUUUUGUCGUAGACCUAAAGCUGACACAGUAGUACCCGAAAGAUGGUGAACUAUGCCUGGCCAGGAUGAAACCAGGGGAAACUCUGGUGGAAGUCCGCAGCGAUUCUGACGUGCAAAUCGAUCGUCUGAGCUGGGUAUAGGGGCGAAAGACUAAUCGAACCAUCUAGUAGCUGGUUCCGCCCGAAGUUUCCGCUAGGAUAGCUAGCACUUGUGAAACGGAGUUUCACCCGGUAAAGCGAAUGAUUAGAGGUAUUGGUUUCGUAAGAACAUAACCUAUUCUCAAACUUUUAAUGGGUGAGACGUUGCGUUGUCUUAAUUGCAAUUGCAACUUCGAAUCAAAGUGCUGAGUGGGCCACUUUUGGUAAGCAGAACUGGCGAUGCGGGAUGAACCGCAAGUUGAGAUAAGGUGCCUAAACGUACGCGUAUUAGAUACCAUAAAAGGUGUUAAUUGCUCUUGACAGCAGGACGGUGGCCAUGGAAGUUGGCAUCCGCUAAGGAGUGUGUAACAACUCACCUGCCGAGCCCCCUUAGA
rnacentral:rRNA from 1 species